rnacentral:misc_RNA from 1 species
UCUCCGUUGGUGAACCAGCGGAGGGAUCAUUAUCGAGUUUAUAACUCCCAAACCCUAUGUGAACUUACCACUUGUUGCUUCGGCGCGCGCUUCGGCGCCGCCGAGGACACUUAAACUCUUUGUUUUUAUAAGCAUUUCUGAGUGGCCGAAAGGCAAAAUACAAAUGAAUCAAAACUUUCAACAACGGAUCUCUUGGUUCUGGCAUCGAUGAAACGCAGC